rnacentral:rRNA from 1 species
GCGAACGCUGGCGGCAGGCCUAAUACAUGCAAGUCGAGCGGUCCCUUCGGGGGCAGCGGCGGACGGGUGAGUAACGCGUGGGAACGUGCCCUUUGGUACGGAACAACUGAGGGAAACUUCAGCUAAUACCGUAUGUGCCCUACGGGGGAAAGAUUUAUCGCCAUUGGAGCGGCCCGCGUUAGAUUAGCUAGUUGGUAGGGUAAUGGCCUACCAAGGCGACGAUCUAUAGCUGGUCUGAGAGGAUGAUCAGCCACACUGGGACUGAGACACGGCCCAGACUCCUACGGGAGGCAGCAGUAGGGAAUCUUGCGCAAUGGGCGAAAGCCUGACGCAGCCAUGCCGCGUGAAUGAUGAAGGUCUAGGAUUGUAAAAUUCUUUCACCGGGGACGAUAAUGACGGUACCCGGAGAAGAAGCCCCGGCUAACUUCGUGCCAGCAGCCGCCGUAAAAC